GCUUGCUUCUCUUGAGAGCGGCGGACGGGUGAGUAAUGCCUAGGAAUCUGCCUGGUAGUGGGGGAUAACGUCCGGAAACGGACGCUAAUACCGCAUACGUCCUACGGGAGAAAGCAGGGGACCUUCGGGCCUUGCGCUAUCAGAUGAGCCUAGGUCGGAUUAGCUAGUUGGUGGGGUAAUGGCUCACCAAGGCGACGAUCCGUAACUGGUCUGAGAGGAUGAUCAGUCACACUGGAACUGAGACACGGUCCAGACUCCUACGGGAGGCAGCAGUGGGGAAUAUUGGACAAUGGGCGAAAGCCUGAUCCAGCCAUGCCGCGUGUGUGAAGAAGGUCUUCGGAUUGUAAAGCACUUUAAGUUGGGAGGAAGGGCAGUAAAUUAAUACUUUGCUGUUUUGACGUUACCGACAGAAUAAGCACCGGCUAACUCUGUGCCAGCAGCCGCGGUAAUACAGAGGGUGCAAGCGUUAAUCGGAAUUACUGGGCGUAAAGCGCGCGUAGGUGGUUCGUUAAGUUGGAUGUGAAAUCCCCGGGCUCAACCUGGGAACUGCAUUCAAAACUGACGAGCUAGAGUAUGGUAGAGGGUGGUGGAAUUUCCUGUGUAGCGGUGAAAUGCGUAGAUAUAGGAAGGAACACCAGUGGCGAAGCGACCACCUGGACUGAUACUGACACUGAGGUGCGAAAGCGUGGGGAGCAAAC
rnacentral:rRNA from 1 species